rnacentral:rRNA from 1 species
AGAGUUUGAUCCUGGCUCAGGAUGAACGCUAGCUACAGGCUUAACACAUGCAAGUCGAGGGGCAUCGAGAGGAAAGCUUGCUUUCCUUGUCGGCGACCGGCGCACGGGUGAGUAACGCGUAUCCAACCUUCCCCUUAGUAGGGCAUAGCCCGGCGAAAGUCGGAUUAAUACCCUAUGUUUUCCGAUGAGGACAUCUGAGCCGGAAUAAAGAUUUAUCGCUAAGGGAUGGGGAUGCGUCUGAUUAGGUAGUCGGCGGGGUAACGGCCCACCGAGCCAACGAUCAGUAGGGGUUCUGAGAGGAAGGUCCCCCACAUUGGUACUGAGCCAUGAUCAAACUC